GCUCCAAUCGUCUAGUUCGGUCACAACCUUUUCUUUUGAAAAUAUAGAAAACGGUUGCCGAAGAAGGACACAGGCCUUUCAAGCCUGCGACCCGGGUUCAAAUCCCGGCUGGAGCA
rnacentral:tRNA from 1 species